rnacentral:rRNA from 1 species
AGUGAACGCUGGCGGUAGGCCUAACACAUGCAAGUCGAACGGCAGCACAGUAAGAGCUUGCUCUUACGGGUGGCGAGUGGCGGACGGGUGAGGAAUACAUCGGAAUCUACUUUUUCGUGGGGGAUAACGUAGGGAAACUUACGCUAAUACCGCAUACGACCUACGGGUGAAAGCAGGGGAUCUUCGGACCUUGCGCGAUUGAAUGAGCCGAUGUCGGAUUAGCUAGUUGGCGGGGUAAAGGCCCACCAAGGCGACGAUCCGUAGCUGGUCUGAGAGGAUGAUCAGCCACACUGGAACUGAGACACGGUCCAGACUCCGACGGGAGGCAGCAGUGGGGAAUAUGGGACAAUGGGCGCAAGCCUGAUCCAGCCAUACCGCGUGGGUGAAGAAGGCCUGCGGGUUGUAAAGCCCUUUUGUUGGGAAAGAAAAGCAGCAGGUUAAUACCCCGCUGUUCUGACGGUACCCAAAGAAUAAGCACCGGCUAACUUCGG